rfam:Chlorocebus sabaeus isolate 1994-021 chromosome 20, whole genome shotgun sequence.
GGGCAUACCCGUAGACCUUGCCUGACUGUGCUCAUGGCCAGGCAGGGGGGACAUUGUAUGCGAGAUUAAUUUGAAGUUCCUUUUUUUUUUUUUGCUGUGCAGAAGCUCUUUAGUUUAA